rnacentral:rRNA from 1 species
GACGAACGCUGGCGGCGUGCUUAACACAUGCAAGUCGAACGGAAAGGCCCUGCUUUUGUGGGGUGCUCGAGUGGCGAACGGGUGAGUAACACGUGAGUAACCUGCCCUUGACUUUGGGAUAACUUCAGGAAACUGGGGCUAAUACCGGAUAGGAGCUCCUGCUGCAUGGUGGGGGUUGGAAAGUUUCGGCGGUUGGGGAUGGACUCGCGGCUUAUCAGCUUGUUGGUGGGGGAGUGGCUUACCAAGGCUUUGACGGGUAGCCGGCCUGAGAGGGCGACCGGCCACAUUGGGACUGAGAUACGGCCCAGACUCCUACGGGAGGCAGCAGUGGGGAAUAUUGCACAAUGGGCGGAAGCCUGAUGCAGCAACGCCGCGUGCGGGAUGACGGCCUUCGGGUUGUAAACCGCUUUCGCCUGUGACGAAGCGUGAGUGACGGUAAUGGGUAAAGAAGCACCAGCUAACUACGUG